UGGGGAAUAUUGCACAAUGGGGGAAACCCUGAUGCAGCGACGCCGCGUGGGUGAAGAAGUAUUUCGGUAUGUAAAGCUCUAUCAGCAGGGAAGAUAAUGACAGUACCUGACUAAGAAGCCCCGGCUAACUACGUGCCAGCAGCCGCGGUAAUACGUAGGGGGCAAGCGUUAUCCGGAUUUACUGGGUGUAAAGGGAGCGUAGACGGAGUGGCAAGUCUGAAGUGAAAACCCUGGGCUUAACCUGGGGACUGCUUUGGAAACUGUUAAUCUAGAGUGUUGGAGAGGUAAGUGGAAUUCCUGGUGUAGCGGUGAAAUGCGUAGAUAUCAGGAAGAACACCGGAGGCGAAGGCGGCUUACUGGACAAUAACUGACGUUGAGGCUCGAAAGCGUGGGGAUCAAACAGGAUUAGAUACCCUGGUAGUCCACGCUGUAAACGAUGAAUACUAGGUGUCGGGGAGCAAAGCUUCUCGGUGCCGUCGCUAACGCAACAAGUAUUCCACCUGGGGAGUACGUUCGCAAGAAUG
rnacentral:rRNA from 1 species